AGUAUUCUAACAAAAGAUAAAAUCU
rnacentral:tRNA from 1 species